AGCAUAUCAAUAAGCGGAGGAAAAGAAACCAACAGGGAUUGCCUUAGUAACGGCGAGUGAAGCGGCAACAGCUCAAAUUUGAAAUCUGGCCCUUGGGUCCGAAUUGUAAUUUGUAGAGGAUGAUUUUGGUGCGGUAUCUUCCGAGUUCCUUGGAACAGGACGCCUUAGAGGGUGAGAGCCCCGUACGGUUGAAUGCCUAGCCUCUGUAAAUCUCCUUCGACGAGUCGAGUAGUUUGGGAAUGCUGCUCUAAAUGGGAGGUAAAUUUCUUCUAAAGCUAAAUAUUGGCCAGAGACCGAUAGCGCACAAGUAGAGUGAUCGAAAGAUGAAAAGCACUUUGAAAAGAGGGUUAAAUAGCACGUGAAAUUGUUGAAAGGGAAGGAUUUGUGACCAGACUUUUUCUGGGCGGAUCAUCCGGGGUUCUCUCCGGUGCACUUCGCCCAGUAAAGGCCAGCAUCGGUUUUCGGCGUGGGAUAAAAGCAGUAGGAAUGUGGCUCUCUACGGGGAGUGUUAUAGCCUAUUGUAUAAUACCGCGCUGGGGACCGAGGUUCGCGCUUCUGCAAGGAUGCUGGCGUAAUGGUUA
rnacentral:rRNA from 1 species